CUACCAAGGCGAUGAUGGGUAGCUGGUUUGAGAGGAUGACCAGCCACAUUGGGACUGAGAUACGGCCCAGACUCCUACGGGAGGCAGCAGUGGGGAAUCUUGGACAAUGGACGAAAGUCUGAUCCAGCGACACCGCGUGGGGGAUGAAGGCUUUCGGGUCGUAAACUCCUUUUCUGGGGGAAGAAUAAGGGCGAGAGGAAAUGCUCGUCCGAUGACGGUACUCCAGGAAUAAGCAUCGGCUAACUUCGUGCCAGCAGCCGCGGUAAGACGAAGGAUGCGAGCGUUAUCCGGAAUUACUGGGCGUAAAGGGCGUCUAGGCGGUCAAGUAAGUCACCUGUGAAAGCCCUCGGCUUAACCGAGGAAGGUCGGGUGAUACUGCUUGGCUUGGGUGUAGGAGAGGAGAGCGGAACUCACAGAGUAGCGGUGGAAUGCGUAGAUACUGUGAGGUACCCCGAUGGCGAAGGCAGCUCUCUGGCCUACUACCGACGCUGAAGCGCGAAAGCGUGGGGAGCAAAGGGGAUUAGAUACCCCGUAGUCCACGCCGCAAACGAUGUUCACUUGGUGUCGGUCGCAUAUACAGAUCGGUGCCGGAGCUAACGCGUUAAGUGAACCGCCUGGGGAGUACGGCCGCAAGGCUAAAACUCAAGAGAAUUGACGGGUCCCCGCACAAGCGGUGGAGCACGUGGUUUAAUUCGACGAUAAGCGAAGAACCUCACCUGGGCUUGACAUACUAGUGGUAGGAACCUGAAAGGGGGACGACCCUGCCUUCGGGUAGGGAGCUAGUACAGGUGAUGCAUGGCUGUCGUCAGCUCGUGUCGUGGGAUGUAGGGUUAAGUCCCGAAACGAGCGCAACCCUUGUCGUUAGUUGCCAGCGGGUAAUGCCGGGGACUCUAACGAGACUGCUGGUGAAUAGCCGGAGGAAGGCGGGGAUGACGUCAAGUCAUCAUGUCCCUUAUGCCCAGGGCGACACACAUGCUACAAUGGGAGGUACAGAGGGUCGCAAUACGGUAACGUGGAGCCAAUCUCAAAAAACCUCCCCCAGUUCGGAUUGUGGUCUGCAACUCGACCACAUGAAGCCGGAAUCGCUAGUAAUCGCGGGUCAGCCAUACCGCGGUGAAUAUGUACUCGGGGAUUGUACACACCGCCCGUCACACCAACCGAGUGGGGGGUACCUGAAGUCGCCUUUUUGAGGGCGCCUAAGGUAACCUUCGCAAGAGGGGUGAAGUCGUAACAAGGUA
rnacentral:rRNA from 1 species